GAGGUGGGCAAGUUAGUUGCUCCAAAAACAAGAUAAAAUGAUUGAGUUCUUUUCUCAAGCGGGAGUCGGAGUUUAUCUGCUCUGAGAGCCCCAGCAGCUACUAUUAAUGAGUGUCUGGAAUAUGUUCCUGGCAUUUCACCUACCCUCUCUCCAAUCCUUCCAAGAAACUCACAAAGCAGGGCUUUUUCUUGAACUUCUCUUCCUCACAACAGUUAAAUCAUCCAUUUAAAGAUGUCAAACAACCUCCGUGUUCUAAGAUGCUGGACCCCUGAAUAUGGAGGGCCAACUACACUAGAAACACACACGCUAGCUGAGAAAGAUGGUGGCUUAAGGGACACAGCAUGUACAACCUCACAUAGAGUUCCUGACCAGACAAGACUUGCUGGAAAUUUCCCAGGAUCUUCCUUCCUUAAGCAUCCAUCAUGGGAAGCCACCUUGCCCUAGGGAGAGCUCCUGACCUAGGGUCAGGAAUAUAUUAAGGAAGACAGCAAUUAAUACAUUCAAAAAUAAUAAUAAUUACAAAUUAUGUCUCUGUGUUAGGAAAACUUGGAUAAGCAGGUCCAUAGAAAUUCCUCUGCUAGCCCUGUCUCCUGGAAUUUCUACAUAAUGGCAUAUCCUCAGUUUGAAUAGCUCUCUGGUUCCAGUUUGAAGCUGAAAAGGUUAAAUUCUACCUGAAGGAUGAAAACAACCAACAUUCUGUGCCA
rnacentral:lncRNA from 1 species